rnacentral:rRNA from 1 species
UACAGAGGUCUCAAGCGUUGUUCGGAUUCAUUGGGCGUAAAGGGUGCGUAGGUGGCGCUGUAAGUCGGGUGUGAAAUUUCGGAGCUUAACUCCGAAACUGCAUUCGAUACUGCGGUGCUUGAGGACUGGAGAGGAGACUGGAAUUCGAUGGUGUAGCAGUGAAAUGCGUAGAUAUCGUAAGGAAGACCAGUGGCGAAGGCGGGUCUCUGGACAGUUCCUGACGCUGAGGCACGAAGGUCAGGGAGGCAAACGGG